AACGCUAGCGACAGGCUUAACACAUGCAAGUCGAGGGGCAGCACAGGUAGCAAUACCGGGUGGCGACCGGCGCACGGGUGAGUAACGCGUAUGCAACUUGCCUAUCAGAGGGGGAUAACCCGGCGAAAGUCGGACUAAUACCGCAUGAAGCAGGGGCCCCGCAUGGGGAUAUUUGCUAAAGAUUCAUCGCUGAUAGAUAGGCAUGCGUUCCAUUAGGCAGUUGGCGGGGUAACGGCCCACCAAACCGACGAUGGAUAGGGGUUCUGAGAGGAAGGUCCCCCACAUUGGUACUGAGACACGGACCAAACUCCUACGGGAGGCAGCAGUGAGGAAUAUUGGUCAAUGGGCGCGAGCCUGAACCAGCCAAGUCGCGUGAGGGAUGAAGGUUCUAUGGAUCGUAAACCUCUUUUAUAAGGGAAUAAAGUGCGGGACGUGUCCCGUUUUGUAUGUACCUUAUGAAUAAGGAUCAGCUAACUCCGUGCCAGCAGCCGCGGUAAUACGGAGGAUCCGAGCGUUAUCCGGAUUUAUUGGGUUUAAAGGGUGCGUAGGCGGCCUUUUAAGUCAGCGGUGAAAGUCUGUGGCUCAACCAUAGAAUUGCCGUUGAAACUGGGGGGCUUGAGUAUGUUUGAGGCAGGCGGAAUGCGUGGUGUAGCGGUGAAAUGCAUAGAUAUCACGCAGAACCCCCGAUUGCGAAGGCAGCCUGCCAAGCCAUUACUGACGCUGAUGCACGAAAGCGUGGGGAUCAAACAGGAUUAGAUACCCUGGUAGUCCACGCAGUAAACGAUGAUCACUAGCUGUUUGCGAUACACUGUAAGCGGCACAGCGAAAGCGUUAAGUGAUCCACCUGGGGAGUACGCCGGCAACGGUGAAACUCAAAGGAAUUGACGGGGGCCCGCACAAGCGGAGGAACAUGUGGUUUAAUUCGAUGAUACGCGAGGAACCUUACCCGGGUUUGAACGCAUUCGGACCGAGGUGGAAACACCUUUUCUAGCAAUAGCCGUUUGCGAGGUGCUGCAUGGUUGUCGUCAGCUCGUGCCGUGAGGUGUCGGCUUAAGUGCCAUAACGAGCGCAACCCUUGCCACUAGUUACUAACAGGUAAAGCUGAGGACUCUGGUGGGACUGCCAGCGUAAGCUGCGAGGAAGGCGGGGAUGACGUCAAAUCAGCACGGCCCUUACAUCCGGGGCGACACACGUGUUACAAUGGCGUGGACAAAGGGAAGCCACCUGGCGACAGGGAGCGAAUCCCCAAACCACGUCUCAGUUCGGAUCGGAGUCUGCAACCCGACUCCGUGAAGCUGGAUUCGCUAGUAAUCGCGCAUCAGCCAUGGCGCGGUGAAUACGUUCCCGGGCCUUGUACACACCGCCCGUCAAGCCAUGGGAGCCGGGGGUACAUGAAGUCCGUAACCGCGAGGAUCGGCCUAGGGUAAAACUGG
rnacentral:rRNA from 1 species